UACGUAGGGUGCAAGCGUUAAUCGGAAUUACUGGGCGUAAAGCGUGCGCAGGCGGUUAUGCAAGACAGAGGUGAAAUCCCCGGGCUCAACCUGGGAACUGCCUUUGUGACUGCAUGGCUAGAGUGCGGCAGAGGGGGAUGGGAUUCCGCGUGUAGCAGUGAAAUGCGUAGAUAUGCGGAGGAACACCGAUGGCGAAGGCAAUCCCCUGGGCCUGCACUGACGCUCAUGCACGAAAGCGUGGGGAGCAAACAGG
rnacentral:rRNA from 1 species